rnacentral:rRNA from 1 species
CACGUAGUUAGCCGGUGCUUCUUCUGCUCCUACCGUCACAAUAAAGCUUCGUCAGAGCUGAAAGAGGUUUACAACCCGAAGGCCGUCAUCCCUCACGCGGCGUCGCUGCAUCAGGCUUUCGCCCAUUGUGCAAUAUUCCCCACUGCUGCCUCCCGUAGGAGUCUGGGCCGUGUCUCAGUCCCAGUGUGGCCGGUCACCCUCUCAGGCCGGCUACCCGUCGUCGCCUUGGUGGGCCAUUACCCCACCAACAAGCUGAUAGGCCGCGAGUCCAUCCUCCACCACAAAAGCUUUCCACCCCAUACCCAUGCAGGUUGAGGUCGUAUCCAGUAUUAGCACCGGUUUCCCGGAGUUAUCCCAGAGUGAAGGGCAGGUUACUCACGUGUUACUCACCCGUUCGCCACUAAUCCACGGUGCAAGCACCGCUUCAUCGUUCGACUUGCAUGUGUUAAGCACGCCGCCAGCGUUCGUCCUGAGCCAGGAUCAAACUCU